UACAUCUUAAACGGGUAUAUAUAGGCUUGUGACGACCGGCAAACGCAUAUUACUUUCUUACCAAGUCUUUGUGCAUUCACAACUCGUUUGAAACACUCAGAAAAAAAACUCAACCAAAAUCUCCAUCAUGUCCAAGUUCACGAUGUUUUUGCUGGUAGCCAUCGCCUUGGCUUUCAUCGGUUCUGCCGCCGCUCAAUUUGUCGUCUACCCGACCAACCCCGUGUACUACAACCCUUAUGGAUACAACUACCCUCUGACCUACAACUACAGACUUGGCGGAUACCCUUACCUCUUACGCCGUUAACCAUUCACUUCAGCCAUAAUGUGAUCUUUACCGCUACACUUCUUUUUCAAUAUUAUUCUAUCUAUACAUCCAAUCAUCAAAACGUCGAAGCCGCCUGUGAAUCGGAAAAAAACAACGUUUUCCCUUUUUGUAUAAUACAUUAAAUUAUUUUAAAUAUAUUAUUUUGUUUAUA